GGGACAGUGGCACAAUGGAAAAUGUGUCUGACGACGGAUUAGAAGAUUCUAGGUUCGACUCCUGGCUGUCUCG
rfam:Salmo salar isolate Sally breed double haploid chromosome ssa08, whole genome shotgun sequence.